AAAAAUAGCAUUUUUCCAGGAAAAAUAUUUAUCAAGAAUUUUUUGAUCACCUAUUGUAAGAGAGAUAUUAUUCCAGUUCUGAGCGGCAUUGCGAGGAUUAAAUGGAGUGAAGCACGUAAAGGAUUUAGUACACUGCUUGCUGCAGAAUAAGAGCUUAGAGGACAUGGAGAGGAAGGAGCCAGCACAAGAGCACACAAGCAACGCUAUCCAUCUGUCUUCUUUUCUGUACAGGCUGAGGGCUCCUCAAGAACUGCCCUAAGCGCUUUAUAUGUUUAGCUCCCUUAAUCCUCAUAACAGUUUUGACUUUUCCAGAAUGUCAUAUAGUUGGAGUCAUACAACUAUAAAUCUGCACACGUCUAACAAGCUCUCCAGUGAUGCCAAUGCUGCUCAUCUGAGGACCACACUUUGAGCACCAAAGAGCUAGAGUUUUCGCUUCUGCCUACCCCUACUUCCAAGGGAGCCAACAGACUCUGAGGCCUGUGUUCACUCCUUCUCUAGCAGAGCCAACAGACCCAGGUGGAGAAAAUCUACAUGCAACAAGAUUCAUAAGGAACUAGAAGAGAGGGGAAGUGCCUUUUCAGAAUACGGAGGGAAGUGGUGACACCAGUAGGAUGAAGGGAUAAAAGAGGAGAGGACUGUAGGCAUUGCUGGAGAGAAUGGAGAGAAUGUAGGACAGCAGGCAGGGCUCUGUGCUUGGCAUCCUUUCUCCAGAGGCCCCGGUGGGAAGGAGGUCUUCCUCCUUCAAGUAGUGCAAAGGAAUGAAGUAGUUGCAUUGGAGGUUACAGGGGUACUAGGUGGCAUGCCCUUUUAAGACCAUGUGUCCUUGAGGCUCCUUGUCUAGGCUACGUGCCAACACUCAUGAUGAUAACACAUGAUAAUAAUCCUGGGCUUGGUUAACCCAGCUGUUUUUGAAUGGGUGAGUUAGCACAAAGUCCCUCAUGGUCUGAGGGAACACGGAAGCCCUUGGGGAGGCGGGGGGCUCUGGUCCUUGGAAUGCAGGUCAUAUAGGGACAGUCCCCCUUGGUAAGCACACAGCCUUUGUUCCUUUGCCUACUUAAGCAAGCAUCUCUCAGGGAGCAGUAGCAGGUGCACAUCUCGGGUCCACUGGACUUUCCCUGUAAGUAACUCCCCGAUAAAAACUUAUGUCUCGUUCACCAUCUCUGGGUCUUUUCUUUGGUCUCUUGGCAACCUGUCCUGCACUGCUCACCUAGCUGGGCAUGUAGCAGAACAGAGGCUCGGUGACCAGUCUUAUGUCCCCCACUUCCUAGUCCUUUGUAAUUGGCACUUUUCACUUGAAAUCUUGAAUGAAGAACUACUUAAACCAUUCUUAG
rnacentral:lncRNA from 1 species